AUAAAACAGAAGACCUGCUCCACCUGCUGAUCUACUGGUUGGAAGAGAUUGUGGAAAAGCGAGACAAGACAACAACUUUUGACUAAUGAGGAGAGAGAAGACACAGAGGACUGAGGAGACGCAGAAAAUCCUGCUGGAAAUCAAUAAAAAUGUUUCCUGAUGGAACAGGGGGACGGCUGAGGACAGGACACAACAUAAAGAGACAGAGACCAUGUGAAAUUCAAGGAUGGCCUUUCAACCCUGGAUUUCAUUUAUGCUUUGGAGCUUCAUGCUUCUGUGUUCAGGCCCUUUGUGUGCGGAAAAGCUGACAUCAGAAAUGUGAGAGGAAAUCUUUGAAGUUCAGCUCAGCGAAAAGGGCAGCACCAGACGACAAGAAGAAACCAGACUGCUAGGAUUCUCCUUGAGACAGACCAAACCUCGCUUUCCUGUUCAAACUCUGACAAGAUACCAAAGCCCAAGACAUACGAUCAGUUUCAAAGAAGACAUGAACUUUGAAUUACAAAACUCUUUGGACUUUAUUAAGUUCAAAUACAGAAUCACAAAACAUAAAUGUGGAUGUUGGCCUGUGAAGGCAGAUGUUAACUUGUGAAACCUGCUCUGUCAAAGUUCUGACUCUGCUGCAUUGUGGUUGUUUGACAACCUUUAAAUUUUAGACUCAUUUAUUUCCAAGUCCACCAUGUUUUCUAGUCUUGUGUAGUUUUCCACAUAGGAUUCCCAAGUUAGUGGAUGCACUAGGCCACUGUCUCUGGAGGUCCUCAAACUGUCCCUAAAGACGGUCAUGGCCACAUUGACUGCUGAUUGACUCGGUCAUAAACUGUCCCAAUUCCUCCUGGGAGUCUGGGAACCUACAGUCUGUUCUGCCAAACCCAGGAGUAAAAUAUGCAUCAAAACAGGACACAUAGUUUAGUUAUAUAUUUAUAUUUCUUCAUUCAACUGUCACUACCAACUGCUACGACUAUUGUUGAAAACUGUUGUAAUGUUUAAUUGUAUUUACAUAUAAAUAUUAGAAAUGAAAAUGUUUAUGUCAUCAGAAACUGUUCCAAUAAAAAGUGACAUAUUAUUAACACAUG